AGUGAACGCUGGCGGUAGGCCUAACACAUGCAAGUCGAACGGCAGCACAGUAAGAGCUUGCUCUUACGGGUGGCGAGUGGCGGACGGGUGAGGAAUACAUCGGAAUCUACUUUUUCGUGGGGGAUAACGUAGGGAAACUUACGCUAAUACCGCAUACGACCUACGGGUGAAAGCAGGGGAUCUUCGGACCUUGCGCGAUUGAAUGAGCCGAUGUCGGAUUAGCUAGUUGGCGGGGUAAAGGCCCACCAAGGCGACGAUCCGUAGCUGGUCUGAGAGGAUGAUCAGCUACACUGGAACUGAGACAGCGUCCACACUCCUACGGGAGGCCGCAGUCGGGAAUACUGGACAAUGGGCGAAAGCCUGAUCCAGCCAUACCGCGUGAGUGAAGAAGGCCUUCGGGUUGUACAGCCAUUUUGUUGGGAAAGAAAUGCAGCAGGUUAAUACCCCGCUGUUAUGACGGUACCCAAAGAAUAAGCACCGGCUAACUUCGUG
rnacentral:rRNA from 1 species